GGCAGAACUCUGUGAGCUGCUGCCGCGCGCGCUCUCUCCCGAGGGCGGUGCUAUGGAAACCAAACGAGCAGGAGUGGGAACCCUCCGCCCCGCCUCCCCCAAAACAUCAUCUCCUCCUCACAUCCAUCAAUAAUUCAAGCAUCUCCCCCGAUUUCCAUCCCCCCUGACAACGACAUCCUUCCACACAGGCACGGAUAAAAAUGUUUAAAUCAAAAUGAGUGUUUUUGUUUUGUUUAUUUUUAUUUUUUUAAAAAGCAACGUAUUUAUCAGAUCUCCACCGAAUCACCAAAAUGCUGCACACUGUGACGCAUGCAUGAAACAACAUUGUUUAUAUUAUUCUAAUAAUAAUCAUAAUAAUCAUAAUAUUAUUAUUAUAUGAUAUAAUGUUAAUAUUAUUAUAUUAGACACAUAUUAUAAAUGUGAUGUUAGGAUCCAAAGGGAAAAGCGCGUGCAUUGCUUCUCCUGUCAUUUGUGGGUGUUGGAUGCCACCUGGUGUUUAAAUAGUGCACUGCAUCUUUCUCAAACUUUAUACACACGCUGCACGGAAACACACCUGCAACAUAUCAGUGUUGAUCCGCCUUCACUGCAUGCGUUCACUGCAGCAUUGCAUUGGCCCCGACUCAGUGAUGGUCAAACUGGUCCUCUGGUAGACGCCUGGUAGUUUGAUGUUCCUGCACAGUAUCUCAGCGGUCUGUUGGACGGUUGUACCUGGAAUCUGCUGCAGCCAGGCGCUCUUGGCCGACACUGUGCGAGGCAAGCUACGGCCAACUGCUUGUGCAUAACAACAUAAUAGCGCUGGCAAGUUGCUAUGGGCAAAUUCUGCUGCUGCUGCAGUGUGAAAAGGCUUGAA